ACGAUCUGAAAAGGAGUGAAACUGUGCGCUAACGUCCUGAAUUUGUCCACUUAGAACAUAUAUUUUGUUUUCAGUUGCAAACGGAACGAAAUGGGGAGGGACCUACCGGAAUUUGUCAAAUAUAAACUAUAGUUUGCGUUUGGAGUAAACGCAACAGACUAAACGUUUUGCAACAGAAUCGGUGUAAUGAUUACACCUCAGCACUCUGCCAGACAAUUUUAUGCAACAAUCCCCAGUAUAUUUGUUAUGAUGCGAAGAAAGUACAACAUUUCGUGCACUAGAACCUCCUGCAGCAAAGAACCCCCACAACAUGACGCUGCCACCCCCAUUGUAACGAUCGUCCUGGGAAGAAGGAGUGGACCAAAACGCAGCGUGACAGUGCCCUGUCUAACCCGGGGCUGCAUGGCCAGUUUGUGGAGCUGAACAAGGCCUACAGGGUGCUGAGUAAGGAGGUGUCCAGGAGAGAGUACGACCUGUGGCUACAGCACCCUUUUACCGGGGAACAGGCCUUCAGACCCACCUCCACACAACCCCAGGAGAGUAUGCGCUACUAGGAUCCGUUCAAACCCUGUCAACCUGAGGAGUGGGGGAGGAAGAGGAACUUUAGAAUAAUUAGCUACUGUAUGCUCAUCAUGGGACUGAGCAUCAGCGCUCACAUUCUCUUCAGGUGUCCUUCUCUCUUCCGGUCACACAGACUGUUGGAGUCUGUCCAUAACAACUUCACGGACGAGAAGAACAGGGUCAUCAAACAGAUCUACAAUGAGGGCAAGAGUGAACGGGUUUAAGAAGCAGACAGAGAUUCUCAGACAGAAUUCUCAGGAGAAAUACAAAAUCACUUGCAACAAGUAGGAGUUUAGUAGAAUACGAGCACAUCGUAAAACAAGGGGGAUUGAUUUGGCCAAACGCCUCGGGAAGAGGAAUGGAGUCAUUCAGGAAGGGGAGUGAACGGUUGAUGGAGUUAGGAGUAGUUAACGUUUUCAGUGGUUUGUGGCAGACGUUGAUGAUGUGCACAGCUCACAUUUGCUUGGACCUCGGAUACUAAGCCGAGGUGUUAAAAAACAAGUGUGUAAUACCUGGGUGAAACGGAAACAGUAAUGGGGUACAUGUCUUUGUCACAGUAAAGCCUCGCCCCACAGCCAUUCUAGGUUUCUCCAGGAGGAGAAUACGUUGUGGAGAUUUGGUCUGGUAUCACAAGACUAACAGCAGUAGGACAUGUCAUUAGCAGCACAUCUCUUCCGCUAUUGGAUGGAACCAAGACUCCUGUUAGCCAGUUGCUAAUUGGUUUGCAUACCCGUGACAUGCUGUUUCUCCCACGGCCGUUCAGAGGCAUGCUCAACAAGAUUCAUGGGACUGUGUGAAUUUGGCAUUCCAGAUAUAGUAAAACUUCAGUGUUCCGUAAUGUAAGUCGAUGGUUGAUUAAAGACUUUAAUCAAAGGUAGAAUCCCUUAAUGACAUAAAGGGGGUGUUCUGCACAGUUGCCCUUGAACCACUGGGAUUCAGUCAUUGUGCCUCUGUGUGUCAAUGAUAUCAUGGAACUCUUGACUCUGCUACUGGGCCCAGGGUGGACCCAAAUACAGUCAUAAAAAUAUACUGUUUGGGACAGGAGUUUUUCCUGUUACCUACAUGCAAUAUUUAGGACCUUCUGCUUUUCCUGGUUAUGUGAUGAGGAAAAACUGUCCCUAGAUAUACUAAAUCCUUUCCCAUUGAAAGGAUAUGGAAUCAAGAGACAUUUUGAAAAUUAAGUCAUAUUAGGACUUUUUAAAAUGGUAUCUAAUUGUACACUUCUCUGAUGUUGAAGAAUUCAUUUUAGGAAUGGAAAUUAUACUAUGGAAAGUACUGAAGUGGAAACUGGAAAGCAGGCAGAUUCACAUUUCUAAGAUUAGAAAUAUUUUAAUUUAUUGCUGUGGUCACGGUCAACAGACACUUACCAUAAGUCACAGAUUGUGUUUCAGUGAUGUUUAAUGACAGCCUUAACUCUUCACGGUGUCGUGGAUUCAUGCAAUGAUUGCACUGUUCCUCUGACCUCAACCAACAACAUCCAAUGUUUCAUUUUGAGUGUGUUUCUCACCUGAUUCCACUCUCACAUGUCAGGUCAGGUUUGGAAGUGAGCGAGUGGUGCAGUGUGUGUUAAUGACUCUAUGGCCUUCUGUUGUUUCUCAAGCCCUUAGCUGAAACCACAGGAGAUAACAGGUCCCCGCAUACCGACAUCCCCCAUGUAGUACACAAGUGCCCCCUCAUAACCAAAACACACCACACUGACAGAGACUCUUCUGUCGAUGUAAAGACAAACUGAUGGGAGACAGAGUUUACUGUACAGUCUGGGCUGCUGAUCAAGGUUUUGUAAGCCUCUGACUGUGACCUAGUGCUGCUGAUCAAGGUUUUGUAAGCCUCUGACUGUGACCUAGUGCUGCUGAUCAAGGUUUUGUAAGCCUCUGACUGUGACCUAGUGCUGCUGAUCAAGGUUUUGUAAGCCUCUGACUGUGACCUAGUGCUGCUGAUCAAGGUUUUGUAAGCCUCUGACUGUGACCUAGUGCUGCUGAUCAAGGUUUUGUAAGCCUCUGACUGUGACCUAGUGCUGCUGAUCAAGGUUUUGUAAGCCUCUGACUGUGACCUAGUGCUGCUGAUCAAGGUUUUGUAAGCCUCUGACUGUGACCUAGUGCUGCUGAUCAAGGUUUUGUAAGCCUCUGACUGUGAUCUAAAUUAGUUGUGCAAAAGUAUUAUUCCAAUCAAAUAAAUGAUUAAUAUCAA